rnacentral:rRNA from 1 species
AUACGGAGGAUGCAAGCGUUAUCCGGAUUUAUUGGGUUUAAAGGGUGCGUAGGCGGUUUGCUAAGCGGGAGGUGAAAUGCCGGCGCUCAACGUCGGAAGUGCCUCCCGAACUGGUGGACUUGAAUGACUCUGCCGUGGGAGGAAUGUGUAGUGUAGCGGUGAAAUGCUUAGAGAUUACACAGAACACCGAUUGCGAAGGCAUCUCACGAAGGGUUGAUUGACGCUGAGGCACGAAAGCGUGGGGAUCAAACAGGAUUAGAUACCCUGGUAGUCCACGCGGUAAACGAUGAUGGCUAACCGCUGGGCUUAUCAGUUCAGUGGCCAAGCGAAAGCGAUAAGCCAUCCACCUGGGGAGUACGACCGCAAGGUUGAAACUCAAAGGAAUUGACGGGG